rnacentral:rRNA from 1 species
UCGAGGAUCUUCGGCAAUGGGCGCAAGCCUGACCGAGCGACGCCGCGUGGACGAUGAAGGCCUUCGGGUUGUAAAGCACUGUCGAGGGGGAGGAAAGCCGAAAGGUUUGACCUAUCCCUGGAGGAAGCACGGGCUAAGUUCGUGCCAGCAGCCGCGGUAAGACGAACCGUGCGAACGUUGUUCGGAAUCACUGGGCUUAAAGGGCGCGUAGGCGGCAAAUCAAGUCCGGGGUGAAAUCCUGCAGCUUAACUGUAGAAGUGCCUUGGAUACUGAUUUGCUCGAGGGAGGUAGGGGUCUGUGGAACUUCUGGUGGAGCGGUGAAAUGCGUUGAUAUCAGAAGGAACGCCGGUGGCGAAAGCGACGGACUGGACCUCAUCUGACGCUGAGGCGCGAAAGCUAGGGGAGCAAACGGGAUUAGAUACCCCCGUAGUCC